UACGUAGGGUGCGAGCGUUGUCCGGAAUUAUUGGGCGUAAAGAGCUCGUAGGCGGCUUGUCACGUCGGUUGUGAAAGCCCGGGGCUUAACCCCGGGUCUGCAGUCGAUACGGGCAGGCUAGAGUUCGGUAGGGGAGAUCGGAAUUCCUGGUGUAGCGGUGAAAUGCGCAGAUAUCAGGAGGAACACCGGUGGCGAAGGCGGAUCUCUGGGCCGAUACUGACGCUGAGGAGCGAAAGCGUGGGGAGCGAACAGG
rnacentral:rRNA from 1 species